AGAUGAACCGCUGACAUUAAUGCUUAACACAUGCAAGUCUACUUGAUCCUUCGGGUGAAGGUGGCGGACGGGUGAGUAACGCGUAGGGAGCUUGCCUUACAGACUGGGACAACAUUUGGAAACGAAUGCUAAUACCGGAUAUUAUGACUGAGUCGCAUGAUUUGGUUAUGAAAGCUAUAUGCGCUGUGAGAGAGCUUUGCGUCCCAUUAGUUAGUUGGUGAGGUAACGGCUCACCAAGACGAUGAUGGGUAGCCGGCCUGAGAGGGUGAACGGCACAAGGGGACUGAGACACGGCCCUUACUCCUACGGGAGGCAGCAGUGGGGAAUAUUGGACAAUGGACCAAAAGUCUGAUCCAGCAAUUCUGUGUGCACGAUGAAGUUUUCGGGAAUGUCACAGUGCUUUCAGUUGGGAAGAACAGUCAGGUGACGGUACCAAACAGAAGAAAGCGACGGUAAAAUUACGGUGCCAAGCAAGGCCGCGGGUAAUAACUUAUGUCCGCAAGGCGUUUAUCCCGGGAUNUAUCGGGGGCGUAAAAGCGCGGUCUAGGGCGGGUUCAGUAAAGUUCUGAUUGUUGAAAAUGGCGGGGGCUCAAACCCCAAUAUUGCGGUUGGAAAAACUUGCUUAAAAUUAAGAAGUUACUGGGAGAAGGGUAAGGGCGGGAACUUACAAGGUUGUAAACAGGGUUGAAACUUCCGAAGAAUUACUUUGGUAGGAAUUGCCGAUGGGGGGAAAGCCAAGCCUUAACUUGGGAACCCAGCAUCACUUGG
rnacentral:rRNA from 1 species